UAGCAAUACGAUGGAAAGUUUAGUGGCGAACGGGUGCUUAACACGUGGGCAACCUGCCAGGAAGUGGGGGAUAGCUCGCCGAAAGGCGAAUUAAUACCGCAUGUGAUUAGAGAGGACAUCCUUUCAAAAUUAAAGUCGGGGCAACCUGACGCUUCUUGUGGGGCCCGCGGCCUAUCAGCUAGUUGGUGAGGUAACGGCCCACCAAGGCUUUGACGGGUAGCUGGUCUGAGAGGACGACCAGCCACACUGGGACUGAGACACGGCCCAGACACCUACGGGUGGCAGCAGUCGAGAAUUUUUGACAAUGGGGGAAACCCUGAUCGAGCGACGCCGCGUGGAGGAUGAAGGUCUUCGGAUUGUAAACUCCUGUCAUUGGGGAACAAUGCACAGAUAUUAACUGUAUUUGUGUUGAUAGUACCCGAAGAGGAAGAGACGGCUAACUCUGUGCCAGCAGCCGCGGUAAUACAGAGGUCUCAAGCGUUGUUCGGAUUCAUUGGGCGUAAAGGGUGCGUAGGCGGCGCGGUAAGUCGGGUGUGAAAUCUCGGAGCUUAACUCCGAAACUGCAUUCGAUACUGCCGUGCUUGAGGACUGGAGAGGAGACUGGAAUUCACGGUGUAGCA
rnacentral:rRNA from 1 species